ensembl:snoRNA SNORA73 Small nucleolar RNA SNORA73 family
CCAACGUAGAUGCUCUGUAGAGAUGAAUCUCUUCAGGCUGUAUCUUUGUGGCGGAAGGGAGUGUAGGGCUCUGCCCUGUGACAUAGAGUCCCAUUCCACAACGUUGGAGAUCAAGCUGGGCCUUGUGUCUGCACCUGCAUAUUCCUAAACCUUCUCAGAGUCCUGCACUGUGACUGAGGAGACAAACCAUGCAGGAAAUAGUA